UAGUAACAAUAAGUCUGGGGUGUGACUCAGUAGUAGAGGACUUGCCUAGCAUUUUAUGACGCUUUGGGUUUGAUCCUCAGCAUGGGGAGAAAAAAAAAAAAAAGGAUGAAAGGAAGAGGAGGAGGAAGAAGAAAAGGGAAAGAAGAAAGAAAGAAAAGCUCUGUAAACAAGAAUGGUGUAAACAAGAAUGGCUCCAUAGGCUCAUAUAUUUGAAUGCUUGGUCCCUGGUUGGUGGAACUGUUUAGGAAGAAUUGAGAGGUGUGGCCUGGUUGAAGGAGCUCUCAGCUACUGCUCCAGCACCAUGCCUGCCUGCCUGCUACCUGACAUGAUGGUCAUGAACUUACCCUGAUACUGUAAGGAAGCUCCCC